UACAGAGGUCCCGAGCGUUGUUCGGAUUCAUUGGGCGUAAAGAGCUCGUAGGCGCCACUCAAGUCGAAUGUGAAACCUCGAGGCUCAACCUCGAGCCUGCAUUCGAUACUGGGCGGCUAGAGUCUGGUAGGGGGAUCUGGAAUUCCUGGUGUAGCGGUGGAAUGCGCAGAUAUCUGGAGGAACACCGGUGGCGAAGGCGCAUCCUGGACCGGCAUUGACGCUGAGGCGCGAAAGCCAGGGGAGCAAACGGG
rnacentral:rRNA from 1 species